CCAUUCGAUACUGUUAGACUAGAGGGCAGCAGAGGGAGAUGGAAUUCCCGGUGUAGUGGUGAAAUGCGUAGAUAUCGGGAGGAACACCAGUGGCGAAAGCGGUCUCCUGGGCUGUUCCUGACACUGAGGCCCAAAAGCGUGGGGAGCAAACAGGAUUAGAUACCCUGGUAGUCCACGCCUUAAACGAUGGAUACUAGGUAUGGGGGGUAUCGACCCCCUCCGUGCCAAAGUUAACACCUUAAGUAUCCCGCCUGGGGAGUACGGUCGCAAGACUAAAACUUAAAGGAAUUGACGGGGGCCCGCACAAGCAGCGGAGCGUGUGGUUUAAUUCGAUGCAACACGAAGAACCUCACCAAGGCUUGACAUACAAGAAGUAGUGAACCGAAAGGGGAACGACCUGUUAAGUCAGGAGCUUGAACAGGUGCUGCAUGGUUGUCGUCAGCUCGUGCCGUGAGGUGUUGGGUUAAGUCCCGCAACGAGCGCAACCCUCGUUGCCAGUUGUUUUCUCUGGCGAGACUGCCCCGCAAGACGGGGAGGAAGGUGGGGAUGACGUCAAAUCAGCACGGCCCUUAUGCCUUGG
rnacentral:rRNA from 1 species